rnacentral:misc_RNA from 1 species
GAUGAAGAACGCAGCGAAAUGCGAUAAGUAAUGCGAAUUGCAGAAUUUCCGUGAGUCAUCGAAUCUUUGAACGCACAUUGCGCCCACUGGUAUUCCAAAGGGCAUGCCUGUUCGAGCGUCAUUUGUACCCUCAAGCUUUGCUUGGUGUUGGGCGUCUUGUCUCCAGUCCGCUGGAGACUCGCCUUAAAGUCAUUGGCAGCCGGCCUACUGGUUUCGGAGCGCAGCACAAGUCGCACUCUUUUCCAGCCAAGGUCAGUGUCCAACAAGCCUUUUUUCAACUUUUGACCUCGGAUCAGGUAGGGAUACCCGCUGAACUUAAGCAUAUCAAUAAGCGGAGGA